rnacentral:rRNA from 1 species
GAGAUCAAAGAAGUUCGCGCGGGCGACAUCGCGGCUGCUAUCGGCCUGAAAGACGUGACUACCGGUGACACCCUGUGUGAUCCGGAAAACCCGAUCAUUCUGGAACGUAUGGAAUUCCCUGAGCCGGUAAUCUCCAUCGCGGUAGAACCGAAAACCAAAGCUGACCAGGAAAAAAUGGGUCUGGCUCUGGGCCGUCUGGCGAAAGAAGACCCGUCGUUCCGCGUAUGGACUGAUGAAGAAUCUAACCAGACCAUCAUCGCUGGUAUGGGUGAACUUCACCUAGAUAUCAUCGUUGACCGUAUGAAGCGUGAAUUCAACGUUGAAGCGAACGUGGGUAAACCUCAGGUUGCUUACCGCGAAGCGAUUCGCGCGAAAGUUACCGACAUCGAAGGUAAACACGCGAAACAGUCUGGUGGUCGCGGUCAGUAUGGUCAUGUUGUUAUCGACAUGUACCCGCUGGAGCCGGGCUCUAACCCGAAAGGUUACGAGUUCAUCAACGACAUCAAAGGUGGUGUAAUUCCUGGCGAGUACAUCCCGGCCGUUGAUAAAGGCAUCCAGGAGCAGCUGAAAUCUGGCCCGCUGGCGGGUUAUCCGGUAGUUGAUCUCGGUGUGCGUCUGCACUUCGGUUCUUACCAUGACGUUGACUCCUCUGAGCUGGCGUUUAAACUGGCUGCGUCUAUCGCCUUUAAAGAAGGCUUUAAGAAAGCAAAACCAGUUCUGCUUGAGCCGAUCAUGAAGGUUGAAGUAGAAACACCUGAAGAGAAUACCGGUGACGUUAUCGGCGACCUUAGCCGCCGUCGUGGUAUGCUCAAAGGUCAGGAAUCUGAAGUUACAGGCGUUAAGAUCCACGCUGAAGUACCGCUGUCUGAAAUGUUCGGAUAUGCAACUCAGCUGCGUUCUCUGACCAAAGGUCGCGCAUCGUACACUAUGGAAUUCCUGAAGUAUGAUGAUGCGCCGAACAACGUUGCUCAGGCCGUAAUCGAAGCCCGUGGUAAAUAAGCCGCAGGGUUAAAAACCAAAAUCCCGUGCUCUCUCCUGAAGGGGAGAGCGCUAUAGUAAGGAAUAUAGCCGUGUCUAAAGAAAAAUUUGAACGUACAAAACCGCACGUUAACGUCGGCACCAUCGGCCACGUUGACCACGGUAAAACUACCCUGACCGCUGCAAUCACCACCGUACUGGCUAAAACCUACGGCGGUGCUGCUCGUGCAUUCGACCAGAUCGAUAACGCUCCGGAAGAAAAAGCGCGUGGUAUCACCAUCAACACUUCUCACGUUNUAUAACGGUCCUAAGGUAGCGAAAUUCCUUGUCGGGUAAGUUCCGACCUGCACGAAUGGCGUAAUGAUGGCCAGGCUGUCUCCACCCGAGACUCAGUGAAAUUGAACUCGCUGUGAAGAUGCAGUGUACCCGCGGCAAGACGGAAAGACCCCGUGAACCUUUACUAUAGCUUGACACUGAACAUUGAGCCUUGAUGUGUAGGAUAGGUGGGAGGCUUUGAAGUGUGGACGCCAGUCUGCAUGGAGCCGACCUUGAAAUACCACCCUUUAAUGUUUGAUGUUCUAACGUGGACCCGUGAUCCGGGUUGCGGACAGUGUCUGGUGGGUAGUUUGACUGGGGCGGUCUCCUCCUAAAGAGUAACGGAGGAGCACGAAGGUUGGCUAAUCCUGGUCGGACAUCAGGAGGUUAGUGCAAUGGCAUAAGCCAGCUUGACUGCGAGCGUGACGGCGCGAGCAGGUGCGAAAGCAGGUCAUAGUGAUCCGGUGGUUCUGAAUGGAAGGGCCAUCGCUCAACGGAUAAAAGGUACUCCGGGGAUAACAGGCUGAUACCGCCCAAGAGUUCAUAUCGACGGCGGUGUUUGGCACCUCGAUGUCGGCUCAUCACAUCCUGGGGCUGAAGUAGGUCCCAAGGGUAUGGCUGUUCGCCAUUUAAAGUGGUACGCGAGCUGGGUUUAGAACGUCGUGAGACAGUUCGGUCCCUAUCUGCCGUGGGCGCUGGAGAACUGAGGGGGGCUGCUCCUAGUACGAGAGGACCGGAGUGGACGCAUCACUGGUGUUCGGGUUGUCAUGCCAAUGGCACUGCCCGGUAGCUAAAUGCGGAAGAGAUAAGUGCUGAAAGCAUCUAAGCACGAAACUUGCCCCGAGAUGAGUUCUCCCUGAGACUUUAGGUCUCCUGAAGGAACGUUGAAGACGACGACGUUGAUAGGCCGGGUGUGUAAGCGCAGCGAUGCGUUGAGCUAACCGGUACUAAUGAACCGUGAGGCUUAACCUU